GCCGAUGUGGUGGAAUAGGUAUACACGACGGUCUCAAAAACCGUUGUCCCUCGGACAUGCCGGUUCGAUUCCGGCCAUCGGCA
rnacentral:tRNA from 1 species